rnacentral:rRNA from 1 species
GAUGAACGCUGGCGGCGUGCCUAAUACAUGCAAGUCGAGCGAACAGAUGAGGAGCUUGCUCCUCUGACGUUAGCGGCGGACGGGUGAGUAACACGUGGAUAACCUACCUAUAAGACUGGGAUAACUUCGGGAAACCGGAGCUAAUACCGGAUAAUAUAUUGAACCGCAUGGUUCAAUAGUGAAAGACGGUUUUGCUGUCACUUAUAGAUGGAUCCGCGCCGCAUUAGCUAGUUGGUAAGGUAACGGCUUACCAAGGCGACGAUGCGUAGCCGACCUGAGAGGGUGAUCGGCCACACUGGAACUGAGACACGGUCCAGACUCCUACGGGAGGCAGCAGUAGGGAAUCUUCCGCAAUGGGCGAAAGCCUGACGGAGCAACGCCGCGUGAGUGAUGAAGGUCUUCGGAUCGUAAAACUCUGUUAUUAGGGAAGAACAAAUGUGUAAGUAACUAUGCACGUCUUGACAGUACCUAAUCAGAAAGCCACGGCUAACUACGUG